CGAUUGCUCUUUUUUCAAACCAAUCAGUUUUUAUUCCAGUUUUUAUAACAAUCGGAGCAAUGAUAAACUAGAGCUGGAAGAUCAUGAGCUGAAAUUGCUUUUUCAAAAUUCAAACCAUCGCUCGAAAUGCAGAAUUUUUCUAUUAAGUUUGGCAGAAAUUCUGAAUUUUCCUUGAUGAUAAUAAUUCCAGUUAUGAAUGAUUAGGCGUCGUCGAUGUUUGACUUUAAAUCAGCUCACAUUUGAAGCUUGACCCUGCUUUAUUUGGUUAGCCUUGUCUGAAGUUAAUUGUUCAGAGCUCUUAACCUUUUUAAAUUUCCUCUCGGUUGUUUGAAUGAUAUUAAUCAACUCUGAUAUUACGAUUGAACUAAAAAUGAGAUUGAAACUAAUAUUUACGAUUUUUGUUCUGAUUUUCUUCAAAACUGAUUCAUUUCGAGUUCCAUUAAAAACUGAAGAAACUAACGGCAAUUUACUUAAUAUUCAUGAUGCCAACAAAAACCAAAAUCAAAGCUCGACUGACAUUGUCGCCAGUCAUUUGCAGUCUGGCAUCAUUCGGGGCAUGCCGGUGAUUGGCAGUCGUCCCUUUUACGUGCAACUGCAUUCCAGAUCUGAGGGAUUCUUCUGUGCUGGGUCUGUACUCUCUGCUCUUUGGGUGAUUACAACCGCUCAAUGCGUCCAAAAACGAAGAGAUAUCACAGUGGUGGAAGUGGGAGAUCCGGUCGAUGGAAUUGCCCGUCACGUGGGCUACCACCGUGUGAAGAAAACAAUUCCACACUUCAACUUUGAUGACAUCACUCUAACUAGCAAUAUUGCCCUUCUACUUCUGUAUAAACCAAUGACCCACCUCGCACCAUACACUCUACCCCUCUGUAAAAACCCAGUCGAUAUUGGCAGCGGAUUGGGUGCUUGUGGAAUGGGUAAAACAUCUCCUCUGGUUAAAACAAAGCUCAACCUACCCUCCAAACUA